rnacentral:rRNA from 1 species
CCCUUAGAUGUUCUGGGCCGCACGCGCGCUACACUGAACAGAUCAGCGUGUAUUCCCUUCCUGAGAAGGACGGGUAAACCGCUGAGCCCUGUUCAUGGUAGGGAUCGGGGCUUGCAAUUAUUCCCCGUGAACCAGGAAUUCCCAGUAGGCGCAAGUCAUAAGCUUGCGUCGAUUACGUCCCUGCCCUUUGUACACACCGCCCGUCGCUCCUACCGAUUGAAUGGUCCGGUGAAGCGUUCGGACCGUGGCCUUUGGACGGUUCGCCGUCUGUUGGCUGCGGGAAGUUCGUUAAACCUUAUCAUUUAGAGGAAGGAGAANUCGUAACA